rnacentral:rRNA from 1 species
CAGUCGCCGCGGUAAUACGUAGGGUGCAAGCGUUAAUCGGAAUUACUGGGCGUAAAGCGUGCGCAGGCGGUUAUAUAAGACAGAUGUGAAAUCCCCGGGCUCAACCUGGGAACUGCAUUUGUGACUGUAUAGCUAGAGUACGGCAGAGGGGGAUGGAAUUCCGUGUGUAGCAGUGAAAUGCGUAGAUAUGCGGAGGAACACCGAUGGCGAAGGCAAUCCCCUGGGCCUGUACUGACGCUCAUGCACGAAAGCGUGGGGAGCAAACAGGAUUAGAUACCCCCGUAGUCCCUGUCUCUUAUAC